UUGACAUUAUUCUUUGACUUUCCAUAUACCAAAUAAUAUCUUUCCGGAUUCUAUGAAUCAUUUAUUGACAUUUGAGUAAAAAAAAUGGGGCUGAGCGAAGAACUAGAGGCGGCGAAGCAAAGUCGGCGGCGAAGCAAAGGGGUCCGAAUCGAAGGCUGAAAUCCUUGUAUUUCAACAACUUUCCAGCAACGUUCACGGCGCAAUGGCGAGAACAAGAUCUAAUCAACAGGAACACGGGAUCUGGACACCGCAGCCAAAUACGAGAUCUGGACAUUCGGGGCUAGCCACGGGUUAUGAGGUUCAGGAGCCGCAAAUUCUAGCACCAACAGCGAAUGUUGGGGUUGAGGGAGAUGUUAUGGUUGACAUCGGGUGCACUGCAUAGGUUACUGUAGCUGAAGAACUACAUAACAUGCCUCGUGUCAAUACAAACAUUGCAAGGCGUGGAAAGGAAAAUUUGGGAAUUACAGUAUAUGGGAUAAGAACAGUAUUCACAACGCAAUGGAGACAAGUGCAAAGCUUAGUUUUGAAUCUGGUGUGGAGGCUGCGAAUUCCAACGUUGACUUCAUGUUGCUUGGAAAGUGAUAUCUUAAUUAUUAUUUUUCGACAAUAUAUAGGCAUGAAACUUUUAGUUAUGUUUUGCGUUUGAAAAAUAAUUUUUUUUAGAUGAGUUUGGCGUAAACAUUAUACGAGAUGGAUUUUUGUGAUCUCUUGUUAUUAUCCAAAAUAAUAAAUUUCAUGAUUAACAUGAUGUUGGUUUAUUAAA